GCAUUAAUGGGGUAGUGGUAACCUGGGUCGUUGCCAUAUUAGGAACUAACUACCAGUUUCGACCCGCCGGGGGUUCGAUUCCCUCUUAAUGCA
rnacentral:tRNA from 1 species